AUUGAACGCUGGCGGCAGGCCUAACACAUGCAAGUCGAGCGAGCGGCGGACGGGUGAGUAAUGUCUGGGAAACUGCCCGAUGGAGGGGGAUAACUACUGGAAACGGUGGCUAAUACCGCAUACUAUCAGAUGAACCCAUAUGGGAUUAGCUAGUAGGGGGGGUAAUGGCUCACCUAGGCGACGAUCCCUAGCUGGUCUGAGAGGAUGACCAGCCACACUGGAACUGAGACACGGUCCAGACUCCUACGGGAGGCAGCAGUGGGGAAUAUUGCACAAUGGGCGCAAGCCUGAUGCAGCCAUGCCGCGUGUGUGAAGAAGGCCUUCGGGUUGUAAAGUACUUUCAGCGGGGAGGCGUUACCCGCAGAAGAAGCACCGGCUAACUCCGUGCCAGCAGCCGCGGUAAUAC
rnacentral:rRNA from 1 species